CAACAGGGAUUCUUUACCAUGAAGCCAAAUAAAAAAUAUAUCAUCCAAAAAUCUGAACCAUACUGAAGGACUCAAGUGAUACCCCGCUAACAUUUUAUUUUCCAAUUCUGCCAUAAAAAUAUUUGCGAACGCUGGAGCAAAUUUUGUGCCAAUGGCUGUCCCUAACUUUUGUUUAUACACUUUUCAACGAAUUCAAAAUAAUUGUUAUCUAAUAUAAUUUUGGCUAAAUCAAUCAAAUCAUCUACAGAAAGUCCCUCCCUUUUAUCCAUACCACAAUUUUUUCUGAAAUCCUCAAUACUUUUUCUCAUACUAGACAGACCUUCCAAAUGAGGAAUAUGCGGGUACAGUCCCACAACAUCCAUUGUGCACAAAAUCGCUCCCUCUGGAAUAUCACCCAAAUCCUGCAGCCUUUUCAAAAAAUCCGUUGUAUCCCUUAUAACAUUGGGCAGACUCUUAACAAUAGGUUGUAAAUAAUGAUCCACUAAUUCCGACAAACCCUCCGUCGGUGUCCCACAGUUAGAUAUAACUGGACGACCUGGGACAUCAACUAGCCGUUUGUGAAUUUUUGGAAGUAAAUAGAAUCUGCCCAAUUUAUUAUUCUUAUUCCUUAGAUAAUUCAAAUUCUUUUCGCUAAUAACCCCCUUUCCUUUCAAAUUCUCUAAUUUAUUCCGAACUAUUUCUGAAACCUUUGCAAGUGGAUUUCCUUCUUCCGAUACAUUUUCGUAAACUAAAACAUCAGCCAAUUGUCUAUUAGCGUCCUUACAAUAAUCCUCUAAUCCCCAAACCACUACCGCAGACCCCUUAUCAGCCUCUUUUAUUACUAUAUCCC